ACGAACGCUGGCGGCGUGCUUAACACAUGCAAGUCGAGCGAUGAAGUCCUUCGGGGACGGAUUAGCGGCGGACGGGUGAGUAACACGUGGGUAACCUGCCUCAUAGAGGGGAAUAGCCUUCCGAAAGGAAGAUUAAUACCGCAUAAGAUUGUAGUUUCGCAUGAAACAGCAAUUAAAGGAGUAAUUCGCUAUGAGAUGGACCCGCGUCGCAUUAGCUAGUUGGUGAGGUAACGGCUCACCAAGGCGACGAUGCGUAGCCGACCUGAGAGGGUGAUCGGCCACAUUGGGACUGAGACACGGCCCAGACUCCUACGGGAGGCAGCAGUGGGGAAUAUUGCACAAUGGGGGGAACCCUGAUGCAGCAACGCCCGCGUGAGUGAUGACGGUCUUCGGAUUGUAAAGCUCUGUCUUCAGGGACGAUAAUGACGGUACCUGAGGAGGAAGCCACGGCUAACUACGUGCCAGCAGCAGC
rnacentral:rRNA from 1 species